rnacentral:rRNA from 1 species
UUCAUCUUUAAUCGGUUUAAAGGGUACCUAGACGGAAAAUCAAGCUUAAUUAAACUAAGGRCUAGUUUUCUAGAGUUUGACAUGAGAAGGUACGAACUAUCAGAGGAGAGAUAAAAUUUGUUGAUACUGGUGGGACGGACAACGGCGAAGGCAAUCUUCUACUAAAAACUGACGUUGAGGGACGAAGCCUUGGGGAGCGAGAAGGAUUAGAUACCCUAGUAGUCCUUGGAGAAAAUUAUGAGUGCCAUAGACUAAAGUGAAAAAGAAGUUCUUUUAAAAGAACUUUGUAUCUGAGCCUUAAUUGGAUACAAAGGUCUCGAGUAGCAGUUUAUAAAUGAAAGUGUAAGCAUUCCACCUCAUGACUAAAGCGGCAACGCCCAAAUUGAAAUCAUUAGACCGUUUCUGAAACCAGUAGUGAAGUAUGUUAUUUAAUUCGAUAACCCGCGAAUAACCUUACCACGUUUUGAAUUUAUUAAACAAGUGUUGCACGGCUGUCUUCAGUUAAUGUCGUGAGAUUUUGGUUUGUUCCAUUAAUUAACGAAAACCCUUGUUUCAUUUUUAUAUGAAAUAGUUCACCGUUAUAUUGGAAAGAUAAAAGGGAUCAAGACAAGUCAUCAUGGCCUUAA